UAAAUUUAUUCAAAUAUUUAGUAUAAGAACCAAAUAAACCGAUUGCCCGCGGUAAACUGCUGGUUAAAGUUAUUAUUAUUUGAGAAGGACUUUGAAUUUGAUACAUCUAACUAUUGGCAAGUGGGGUU
rnacentral:sRNA from 1 species